rnacentral:rRNA from 1 species
ACGGAAGGCAGCAGUGAGGAAUAUUGGUCAAUGGACGCAAGUCUGAACCAGCCAUGCCGCGUGCAGGAAUAAGGCCCUAUGGGUCGUAAACUGCUUUUGUGGUGGAGCAAUAAGUCGUACGUGUACGGCGAUGAGAGUACAUCACGAAUAAGCAUCGGCUAACUCCGUGCCAGCAGCCGCGGUAAUACGGAGGAUGCAAGCGUUAUCCGGAUUUAUUGGGCUUAAAGGGUGCGUAGGCUGUGGUCCAAGUCAGGGGUGAAAGCCCGGAGCUCAACUCCGGAACUGCCUUUGAUACUGGAUUGCUGGAAUACGGAUGCCGUGGGAGGAAUGAGUAGUGUAGCGGUGAAAUGCAUAGAUAUUACUCAGAACACCGAUUGCGAAGGCAUCUCACGAAUCCGUCAUUGACGCUGAGGCACGAAAGCGUGGGGAUCAAACAGGAUUAGAUACCCUGGUA